rnacentral:rRNA from 1 species
UUAUGGCUCAGGACGAACGCUGGCGGCGUGCCUAACACAUGCAAGUCGAACGGAGUUGCGUCACGAAGUUCUCGGAGCGGACGACGCAGCUUAGUGGCGGACGGGUGAGUAACGCGUGAGCAACCUGCCUUUCAGAGGGGGACAACGGUUGGAAACGACCGCUAAUACCGCAUGAAAUGACUGGACCGCAUGAUCCGGUCAUCAAAGAUUCUAUCGCUGAAAGAUGGGCUCGCGUCUGAUUAGAUAGUUGGUGGGGUAACGGCCCACCAAGUCGACGAUCAGUAGCCGGACUGAGAGGUUGAACGGCCACAUUGGGACUGAGAUACGGCCCAGACUCCUACGGGAGGCAGCAGUGGGGAAUAUUGGGCAAUGGGGGGCCAACCCUGACCCAGCAACGCCGCGUGAAGGAAGAAGGCUUUCGGGUUGUAAACUUCUUUUACCGAGGACGAAGAACGUGACGGUACUCGGAGAAAAAGCCACGGCUAACUACGUGCCAGCAGCUGC